UACGGAGGAUUCGAGCGUUAUCCGGAUUUAUUGGGUUUAAAGGGAGCGUAGGCGGGUUGUUAAGUCAGUUGUGAAAGUUAGCGGCUCAACCGUAAAAUUGCAGUUGAUACUGGCAUCCUUGAGUACAGUAGAGGUAGGCGGAAUUCGUGGUGUAGCGGUGAAAUGCUUAGAUAUCACGAAGAACUCCGAUUGCGAAGGCAGCCUGCUGGACUGUAACUGACGCUGAUGCUCGAAAGUGUGGGUAUCAAACAGG
rnacentral:rRNA from 1 species